CGCGUCAGCGGCAGUCGCUGCGGCAGCGUUACGGGUUGUCUAGGUAACCACGGGAGUUGUCGCUGAUUGGUGGCAUCCGAGAGACAGGUGUUCGUCUGGCAGUUGAAGCACCUGAGGACGCUGCUGAGCCCUCAGGUUCCCCAUCUGUAAAAUAUGCAUAAUCAUCUCUGUCUCAGCGUUAUGAAGUAAAAGGACAAUGCAUAUUGAGCAUCUAUCAAACUGCCUAGUCUAUGGAAAGAUCUUGUUAAAGGAGGGAAGUACCUAGUGAAGAACCGUUGAGGACCAGGUGGUGGACAGAGGUGGAAGAGAAUAGUCGACUGGGAGAUGAUCACUUCAAAAUUGGACAUCUGAGCAGAUGGAGCUGCAAAGGUGAUCUGCAUGGCUUGGUCCCAGAACAAUGCCAAGUUUGCGGUCUGCACAAUGGACCCAGUGGUGUUGCUAUAUGAUGACAUGGGGAGCGGAGAGACAAAUUCCCCACCAAACCAGCUACCUUGAAGAGUGCUGUCACCUGUCUGCAGUGGCCAGCAGAGCGGCACAUCAUUGUUUUUGGACUGGCUGAAGGGAAGGAUGGAGCUGCAAAGGUGACUUGCAUGGCUUGGUCCCAGAACAAUGCCAAGUUUGCGGUCUGCACAGUGUACCGAGUGGUGGUACUAUAUGAUGAACAUGGGGAGCGGAGAGAUAAAUUCUCCACCAAACCAGCUGACAUGAAGUUCCUCUGGGAAAGGAAUUCUCUCUGGUCAUGCAGAUGGCACCAUUGUUAGGUAUUUCCUCGAAGAUGAAGGCUCUGGAGAGUCACGGGGGAAGUCGGUUAUCCACCCAUGCCCGCCCUAUGCCUUGGCUUGGGCAACCAACAGCAUCGUGGCUGCAGGCUGUGAUCGCAGAAUUGUAGUCUAUGGAAAGGAAGGCCACGUGCUACAAACUUUUGAUUACAGCCGUGACCCUCAGGAGCGGGAGUUCACCACCGCUGCUGCAAGCCCUGGGGGCCAGUCUGUUGUGUUGGGAAGUUAUGACAGACUUCGGGUACUCAACUGGAGCCCUCGAAGAAGCAUCUGGGAAGAGGCAAAGCGCAAGGAGAUUGCCAACGUAUAUACCGUCACUGCCUUGGCCUGGAAACGGGAUGGCUCGACUCUGUGCGGUGCGUUUU